UACGUAGGGUGCAGGCGUUAAUCGGAAUUACUGGGCGUAAAGCGUGCGCAGGCGGUCUGCUAAGACGGGUGUGAAAUCCCCGGGCUUAACCUGGGAACUGCGCUUGUUACUGGCAGGCUGGAGUGUGGCAGAGGGGGGUGGAAUUCCACGUGUAGCAGUGAAAUGCGUAGAGAUGUGGAGGAACACCGAUGGCGAAGGCAGCCCCCUGGGCUAACACUGACGCUCAUGCACGAAAGCGUGGGGAGCAAACAGG
rnacentral:rRNA from 1 species